rnacentral:rRNA from 1 species
AUAGCCUAAUGCAUUAUUUUAAUGUUUAAUCGACCAUGUCGAAUAAAAUUCUAGGUAGAGUUUUGACAAUGACAUUCUCUAUCUAUGUGUCUUGACCAAAUUACGUGCCAGCAGUCGCGGUAAUACGUAAAAGACUAGUGUUAUUCAUCUUUAAUAGGUUUAAAGAGUACCAAGACGGUUAAUAAAGCCCCUAAAGGGUACAAAUUAACUAGAGUUAUAUGAAAGGGAGCUCUUAGGUACUGUUGAGUGUAGAGAUGAAAUUCUGUGAUACCAGAUGAUUGGCACGGGUCUAUGCGAAGGCAUCUCCUUAUGUAAUAACUGACGUUGUAGGACGAAGGCUUUUGAAGUGAACAGGAUUCGAUACCCCAGUAAUCUAAGCAGAAAAUGAUGAGUGUCAUAGGUUAAAUAUAAUUUAGUCUAUAAAUGAAAGUGUAAGCAUUCCACCUCAAGAGUAAUUUGGCAACAUUGGAACUGAAAUCAUUAGACCGUUUCUGAAACCAGUAGUGAAGUAUGUUGUUUAAUUUGAUGAUCCGCAAAGAACCUUACCACUUUUAAUAAUGUUAAAAUUAUUAUUUUUUUUUUUUUUUUACAUUGUUAAAAUUAUUAUCUUGAAUAAAUAUUUUUUUAAUAUUUACAAGCGUUGCACGGYUGUCUUCAGUUAAUGUCGKGAGAUUUUGGUUAGUUCCAUUAAAUUAACGAAAACCCUUACUUUAUUUUAAUAUAAAGUUGUUCACCGUUAUAUUGGAUAUGAUAAUAGGGACCAGGACAAGUCAUCAUGACCUAAAUAUUGUGGGCUAUA